AGCGAACGCUGGCGGCAGGCCUAACACAUGCAAGUCGAACGGAUCCUUUGGGAUUAGUGGCGGACGGGUGAGUAACACGUGGGAACGUGCCCUUUGGUUCGGAACAACUCAGGGAAACUUGAGCUAAUACCGGAUGUGCCCUUCGGGGGAAAGAUUUAUCGCCAUUGGAGCGGCCCGCGUCUGAUUAGCUAGUUGGUGAGGUAAAGGCUCACCAAGGCGACGAUCAGUAGCUGGUCUGAGAGGAUGAUCAGCCACAUUGGGACUGAGACACGGCCCAAACUCCUACGGGAGGCAGCAGUGGGGAAUCUCGCGCAAUGGGCGAAAGCCUGACGCAGCCAUGCCGCGUGAAUGAUGAAGGUCUUAGGAUUGUAAAAUUCUUUCACCGGGGACGAUAAUGACGGUACCCGGAGAAGAAGCCCCGGCUAACUUCGUGCCAGCAGCCGCCGUAAUAC
rnacentral:rRNA from 1 species